GGGGGGGGGUUGACAAGACAAAACUAGCACAACUGUCCUCCAAUGAUUCUGGGGUAUGCCAAUCUUUAAGAACAAAUUCUUGGGUCUGUGUAUCAGUUCGUUUGGAUGUUGAUAACAUGACAGGUAGCAUCCAUACUUGUUUGAUAGAGUGGUCUGAUAUAACAGGAUUUGUCGAUCUUCAGGGUGCAUGAAUCAUAUUGAUAGAAAGAGUGUUCAGCUUGUACUGGACAAUAUUUGGAAUAAGCAUCUCAGACUGUUUGCAGUCGUAGUGUUCAGCAUUGUUCACUGCAGGUGUUUGUAUGAUCAUAGUUACUGCUUGCCAUGAGGAAGUGGCAAGAGUGUGGAAACAAUGCCUGCAUUUGACCUUACCUUAGUCACCGGGAAUGGGCAUCUCAGAUUGCUGUUUAGUCGCUGGUCAGACAAAUCAGUUUUGGAUUAUAGUGUCAAUUUGUACACGAUGCAUGACCUUACCAAAAUCAGUUUUGGUCUAUAGUGGCAAAUUUUAGAUUAUGACUUGUGCACCCUACAAAAUUCUUAAAAAUGAUGCAUGUAAAAUAUCGUACUGUAUAUGUCUCCCUUUCCUCUGCAACAGGAGUCCAAACUUACUUUCAGUGCUGUCAACUAUGCAAGCAUUUAGUAGAUGCAUUCCAUUAGCAACUUGCAUGGCCUGCAAGGAUACAUGCUCGACAAGCUUUUGAUCAGAUCCCCAAAAGUCGGUGCCCGUAAGUCGCAAGAACUUGAAAGAUUGUGCUUGCUCAGCAGCACAGGUGAUGUCCACUACAGGCCUACAGCCUUCGCUCCAAUUGCCAGGGUUGCUCAUCACAUAGCCCGGUGGGCAAGAGCAUGCAGGCGCAGGCAAGUAGUGGCAGAUCCCAUUUGGACGUACAAACCACGAAUAUUGCAAGGCUGAGACAUUGCAACCCAGGAAACCAACCAUCUCCCAUCUGAGCUGUUCAAGCUUUAGAGUCGGAGAUUACCAUCAGGAUCCAGAGUAAGCCUUCGUUUGAUCCCAAGACCUUCACCAGAAGCAACAAGUGCUUGCUGGUUGGCGAAAUCACUCGAAAUUUUUUUGCCGGUAUCAUCAACACCCCCAAGCCUUGUACUGUUAUUCCGAUUUCUGUUAUUCUGAUACUCUCCUAUGUCAAGGUCUGGCCAAUAUAUUUCAUGAACCUAAGCAUCGUUAUAUAUAAGCGACAGUAUAGAUGAAUCUGUGAAAUGAAAUAUGUAGUGACCUGGGGCAUGCAACCCAGUGCUGGAGACCAGCUUUGUAGUUGCAGUGAUGCGCUGGGUGGGAAGCAUAGUGUGUGUGGGUGAAUCAAAGCUCUGCCACACAAGCAUGCCACUGGAAUUCUUCAUGACAAGGUUUCCAGUGUCCAGGAGCUGAGCGUACUGCACGCCUGCCAAGUUUCCUUCUGCUUGCCACACCACCGUGCCAUCAUAGUCUGUGAGAACCAUGGUGCCGCCCUCCCGCAGGGUGACUGCCGACCCUCUGUCGUGCACAGGGCGGCCACGGUUUGCGGUCCAGACAAUGGUCUUGUCUUGUCCGUCGACCUCAGGAUGUUGGUUUCAUGCUUGUCGAUGGAGAGUGAGGAUCUCAGCGGUAAAAUGUCGUGAGAUGCGGCGAUCGAGAGGAGAGGAAGCAGUGGUAGGACCUGCAGGAUGGAAAAGAAGGUUGCCAUGACUGAACAAAUCGUUGAGCUGAUGAGCAGACUUCUUCUCAGGAUCUCCAAUGUCCAAACUGCGUUUCUCAAUUCUAUACAAGGCAAGUAUCCUUUCUCCUCAGGUUUGUCAUGGUUACUUUGGAGUUUAUGAUGUACUCUGUUAUUCUGUUAGCAGAUUUCAGCCUUGUUUUGAGUCGUAACCAUUAUAUUGCUAUGUAACCAUGUCUAGUGUACUUGAUGAAAACGAUGAGCCUAACAGGAGGUUGACUUCGAAAGGAGGAAAUAAGAGAGCUUAACUAUUGUUCCUGCUCCAAUUUUGACAGCUAUAGAUGUACAAGCUGCCAUCUUGGUAAAGUGCAUCAGUUGUAUGCCAUGACAGGCAACUGCUGGCUGGAUUGCAUGAAAAGCUCAAGGAAAGUCCGAAGGUAGUGACGCGUCUUGUAUGAGUCAGUCAAGAACAGUUACAUGUGGUUUUCUCUUCUCUUGUGCAUGUACAGUGGACUCAUGGUAACUCGAUACAAUCCAUGUGAAUUUUUCAAACGAAUUAAUUUCAGUUUGAAUCGUUGCAAUCUUGGUCGAGAAAUCUCUGGCUAACAUCAUAUUAUGGGACAGACUUUUGAGGCUACAUUAUCUUCUCCACGUUCUUUUUUUUUUUUAAACGAAGUUUGCAAAUAGU